rnacentral:rRNA from 1 species
AUUGAACGCUGGCGGCAGGCCUAACACAUGCAAGUCGAGCGGAGCGCGGGAAGGGUGAGUAAUGCCUAGGAAUCUGCCUGUUAGUGGGGGAUAACGUCCGGUAAGGGGCGCUAUUACCGCAUCCUAUCACAUUAGUCUAGGCCGGAUUAGCUAGUUGGUGGGGGAAAGGCCUACCAAGGCGACGAUCCGUAACUGGUCUGAGAGGAUGAUCAGUCACACUGGGACUGAGACACGGUCCAGACUCCUACGGGAGGCAGCAGUGGGGAAUAUUGGACAAUGGGCGCAAGCCUGAUGCAGCCAUGCCGCGUGUAUGAAGAAGGCCUUCGGGUUGUAAAGUACUUUCAGCGGGGAGGCGUUACCCGAAGAAGAAGCACCGGCUAACUCCGUGCCAGCAGCCGCGGUAAUUC